AUUGAACGCUGGCGGCAGGCCUAACACAUGCAAGUCGAACGGUAGCACAGGAGAGCUUGCUCUUCGGGUGACGAGUGGCGGACGGGUGAGUAAUGCAUGGGGAGCUGCCCAAUCGAGGGGGAUACCAGCUGGAAACGGCUGCUAAUACCGCAUACGCCCCGAGGGGGAAAGGUGGGGACCUUCGGGCCUACCGCGAUUGGAUGCACCCAUGUGGGAUUAGCUAGUUGGUGGGGUAACGGCUCACCAAGGCGACGAUCUCUAGCUGGUCUGAGAGGAUGACCAGCCACACUGGAACUGAGACACGGUCCAGACUCCUACGGGAGGCAGCAGUGGGGAAUAUUGCACAAUGGGGGAAACCCUGAUGCAGCCAUGCCGCGUGUGUGAAGAAGGCCUUCGGGUUGUAAAGCACUUUCAGUGGGGAGGAAGGGGAGUAAGUUAAUACCUUACUUCAUUGACGUUACCCACAGAAGAAGCACCGGCUAACUCCGUGCCAGCCGCCGCGGUAA
rnacentral:rRNA from 1 species